AUGAAGUAUAGAUCUCCGACAAGAUUUUCGGAAGCGGCUGUAACCACGGUUGUCGAAUUUUGUUCAAAUUUCACAAGGUCAUGGUGUAGAGAUGAAGCUUUUUUUUACUGCAAGUGGCAAUGUUAUGGUUUCAUGAUGACGAGUUUCAUUUGUAUGGAGCUUUUUUUAAGGGUCGAUGCUUGUCCAGAACUUUUGGUUUUCUGCUGUUUUAUAGCUUUUUUAGGGUAUUAA